GGAGAGAUGCCCGAGAGGCUGAAGGGGUACGAUUGGAAAUCGUAUGAGCCUAAUAAGCUCCGCGGGUUCGAAUCCCGCUCUCUCCG
rnacentral:tRNA from 1 species